rnacentral:lncRNA from 1 species
CACCCUCCUUUCACCUUGAUAUCCUCUACCACCUUGAACAAGUUGUGGUACUUGAACAUGCACAACCUUCAAGAAAUAGAAGCAUUGGUGUUAUUUCAAAUGACAUCACGACUGUCAUAGAUUAAAACUUGAAGGAGGUGACAUUCCCCAGAAAAGUUGUUCACCAUACCAUCCCAUGUUUGGUUGCCCCCCAGUCCAGAUCAACAGUUUAUUGAGGAAAAGCUUGGAAUUCAGUUGAUGCCUAUUCUUGCUGUGAAGAGGAGCAAUCUGAACUGAAGGGGAGAACAGACUCCAAACAAGAGUAGAUGUGAUGACACCAAGAAAGAGCAGCCACAUAUUACCUCGAGAGGUUAACCGGAAUGCAAAUCAACAGAAUAUGAUGCUGACCAAGUACCAGGAAGAGGUGUCCCCAUCACUGUAGAUGACAAGUGAUGACAGUUAUCUUGAUGGACUACAGGAAUGAUUCAAGUGCAUUCAUUAUGCAGUUUACUGAUUUGUUUGAUGUAUUUUGAUAAUUGUUCUGACAUUCUGAUGUCAGCUGAGUAACACCUCCAUAAUAGAGACAAAUUAAGGAACUUCUGUUUUGAAGCAGUAAAAUAGUCUCAGCAAGAAUUUUUAUUUAUUUUGCCAGCAGAACAGAAGUUUCCAUUAAUUUUCC